CCUACGGGGUGCUGCAGUGGGGAAUAUUGGACAAUGGGCGGAAGCCUGAUCCAGCCAUGCCGCGUGUGUGAAGAAGGCCUUCGGGUUGUAAAGCACUUUCAGUGGGGAAGAAAGCCUUGGGGCUAAUACCCUCGAGGAAGGACAUCACCCACAGAAGAAGCACCGGCUAACUCCGUGCCAGCAGCCGCGGUAAUACGGAGGGUGCGAGCGUUAAUCGGAAUUACUGGGCGUAAAGCGCGCGUAGGCGGUCUGAUAAGCCGGUUGUGAAAGCCCCGGGCUCAACCUGGGAACGGCAUCCGGAACUGUCAGGCUAGAGUGCAGGAGAGGAAGGUAGAAUUCCCGGUGUAGCGGUGAAAUGCGUAGAGAUCGGGAGGAAUACCAGUGGCGAAGGCGGCCUUCUGGACUGACACUGACGCUGAGGUGCGAAAGCGUGGGUAGCAAACAGGAUUAGAUACCCGAGUAGUC
rnacentral:rRNA from 1 species